ensembl:lncRNA
AGAAAAAAAAAAAAAAACAAAAAAAAAACAACACAUGCUUUAUGUAAUGCCAUUUAUGAGGAGAAAACUCAAUGAAAUCCAUUUAAAUUUCAAGAAUGCAUUGGAGAAAAGUUUCCAUUUUAAAUGUGAAUAGUCAAACUCAAACAAGCCUGUUCCAAUGCUUCUGCAUGUGCAAUACUUAAAAAUCUUGCUUAAUUAAUUCUCACAUUCAGCAGGGAAUUACAACCAGACCUUCAUCUAGGAACAACCUUUAGCUUUAUUAUCAGGAGAAUCCAGCGGUUUAUUAAUCUAUUGCUUUUUUUUUAUUACAAAUGACCUUUCAUAGUAAUAUCUUAAUUGCUUAAUUAAGUUGGCCUAUAAACCUGCAACAGUAAGCAAUAUUAUUAAAGAUCAGCCUUUCUCUGGCACACAAUAUUCAUUCUUUUCUUUCCUUUUCUUUUUUAGGCUUAAGUACUAAAGCAGACGCUGUCAAGCUUCGCCUCAGGAGCUGAUGAGCUCUCGCGUGCAAAAUCUGGAGCGACUUAAAGCUCUCGACUAGAUUAUAAUAUUAUAUAAGAACUCAAACUUUCAGAGUCUUCCUUCUAGUGCAGUUUCACACAGGAAUCGAUCAAUAAAUCAACAAGAGAAAAAAGAGAUUUGACUUCAACGACCUCUAGAUGAUUUAUUCAAAAUCUGCUCUAGAAUAACUAACGCACACCAUCACAACAAAAGCCUAUUUAUAACAUCUGCUUCAUGUGUUCAAAUAUAAUCAUACAAACAAUGUGUGUAGAAACAAGAUGAUGACCCAUAAUGCACCACUAAAAGUGUCACCUUCAGAUGGUUUUCAGAUUUACGACUUAAUGGAACAAUUACGCACUAAUCGCUGUGCGUUUAGGUAAUUGAUUAUUUUAAAGCCUGAAGGCUUUUGUGUUACUGUGCGAUUUAAUAGAGAAUCCGCAGCUGCCCGAAACACUACACAAACACAAUCGAAUGGCACACGACGCUUCAGGAAUAACAAUCUUUCUGCAGCAUGUUUACAUGAUGAUGUUGGAAAAGAACAGCGUUUUAACAGGUGUUCCAGUGGUAAGAUCAGGAUUCAGAUGUUCUCCAUCAACUAAAGACCUGCGACAAACACGGAAGAAAAGAGCUUCGAUCACCCAGAACAACAAAGCAAAAGACUUUUCUGUUAUGCAUAGAAUAUCUGAACACAAACUCAUCGGAAUGAGACUGAAACACAGAAGCAGCUGGAAACAGUUCAUGAUUAAUGUAACAUUUUUCUCUUUUGUCAUUUCUGGCUUAAUGCAAUGAAUACAGUACUUCACAUAUGCAGAGUUCUGGAGAAAAAAAACAAAACAAAACCAAAAAAAAAAGACAGCAACAGAUGUUUUCUAUCCAGAUGGUUUGUAUGUCUUCACUAAAAAAUGCAAAAUAUUCACUGACAUCAUACAGGCUUUACAAACACUUUACAAAACAGAUUUGGUAGAUAAUGCCCUGCUGCUCCAUUAAUGACCCACAGAAGAGACUCAUUUCAUUCCUAAUGUUCUGGGAACACGUGUUAUACAGGAACACUACAUCAUACGUCAUACUCAUGUAUGUACAAACACCUGUGAACCUUAGUAAAAUAUAUCAAAUAUAAUAAGAACUAAAGUGGCUUGAGUGGCAAACGUUGCCUUUAUCAACAAUAUCAACCAGAAUCUCACGUUACACAAAUAUAGACGCGAAUGACUGACGUGUGCGAUGGAAGCGUGUUACACUAUUAACACGUGUUCUUGUGGCAGUAAGUGUUGUAAAUGAUAAUACGUUUCUCUAAUUUAAAUAAAGCAAAAGAUAUACAAAUAUUAGAAAAAAAA